GACGAACGCUGGCGGCGUGCCUAAUACAUGCAAGUCGAGCGCAGGAAGCCGUUCCGAACCCUUCGGGGGGACGGCGGUGGAAUGAGCGGCGGACGGGUGAGUAACACGUAAAGAACCUGCCCAUAGGUCUGGGAUAACCACGAGAAAUCGGGGCUAAUACCGGAUGUGUCAUCGGACCGCAUGGUCCGCUGAUGAAAGGCGCUCCGGCGUCGCCCAUGGAUGGCUUUGCGGUGCAUUAGCUAGCUGGUGGGGUAACGGCCCACCAAGGCGACGAUGCAUAGCCGACCUGAGAGGGUGAUCGGCCACACUGGGACUGAGACACGGCCCAGACUCCUACGGGAGGCAGCAGUAGGGAAUCUUCCACAAUGGACGAAAGUCUGAUGGAGCAACGCCGCGUGAACGAUGAAGGCUUUCGGGUCGUAAAGUUCUGUUGUAAGGGAAGAACAAGUGCCGCAGGCAAUGGCGGCACCUUGACGGUACCUUGCGAGAAAGCCACGGCUAACUACGUGCCAGCCGCCGCCGUAA
rnacentral:rRNA from 1 species